CCAUCCCGCGCGUGAAGAGCUCGCCGGCGGCCAUGGCCAUCUCCACCGCCGCGCCGAUGCUGCCUUGCCGACGGCGAUUGGG
rnacentral:pre_miRNA from 1 species